AUCGACAAUUGGAACGCAUAUUGCAGGUUUGUGCUUGUCACAAACCUACCUUUGUGUCAGGGUCGGUUAUAACAACAUCCAUCAAAGGAAUUGAUUUUCCUUUGCAUUGUCAGUCUCGUCUGUCUAGCUUACACAGGCGACUGAUUAAAUUGUGGAGCUUUGUUCAGUUGCAGCCCACAAACUUAUACUUGACUCUUAGGUUCCUUGCAACCGGGGUCAAGGGUGGAUAGCUUCUGGCCUGUUAUUUACUUGUGUGAGUGUUGCACGUUUAGAAGCGCCUCGUUUCAAACGUCACACGAACCGAGUUUUAACAGUUAAAGUUGUCACAGGCAUGUGAGGUGUAGACUGAUUACAAUAUCAGCCUCUUUCGGUGCCGACCCUCUUUUGAACUAUUUCGACCUGAUAUCAAGGGAGAU
rnacentral:misc_RNA from 1 species